CGGCACACCAACCCUUUCACCUUGCAUUCCCAAUUUCUAUAUAUGUUAAGGUGGUUUUACAUUAAUUUUUUUAUGUUAAAGAAUUAUGUGUGUGAAUUGAACAAAGCAUUAUGUGUUAAUUGAAUGAAACGUUGAGAGUUGAAUAUAUAGUUUUGAACACUUGCACCCUAUUUCAUCUUUUUCGUUGAGUGUUAUGCAUCCCCUUUCAUUUAUCUUCCUCCUCCUUUGUUGACUUUUUGAGAGAUUUGUGAGAGAUUUUGUUGAGAUUGUUCAAUACAGCUUGGCAGCUUGAAGGUGUUGAAGGCAGCUUGGACGCAGAGGUUCAAGGCAACUGAAGGUGGUGGUGUUGUGUUCGUGGUUCACAUUAGUAAAUAGUUAAUUAUUAAAAGCGGUGUUUUUUUAUAAUUAUUUAAUUUUUUUAAUAUAAAAAUGCAUUUUAAAUGUUUAAUUUUUAUAAUAUAAAAAAUGUAUAUUUAUAAUUAUUUAAAUUAUUUUUAAAUUUAUAUUAUUUUUAUUUUAGGGUUAAAUAUGUUUUUAGUCCUUCAACUGCCAUGCGAUUUUAGAUUUAAUCAUUCUUUAAAACUUUGAUACACUUUGAUCCUUGUCUUUAAGGAAUCUUUAAUUUCUCGUCCUCCAAAACAAAUGCCGUUAAAAUUAGUCUAAGCUGGCUAACAGUAUACUACACUGUAAACUUAGAAACUCUCCCUCUCUCCACAAUCACCACCACCUCCGCUUCUUUUUAUCCUCCAUCAGCAACGUCGCCAGGAAGAUCAAAUCUUUUCUCCCUCCUUCUGCCACCAAACCUCCUUUCUCCUCCUCCCGUCGGAAAAAGUGUUGCUACGCCGGGGUCUUAGAAAAAACAAAGUCCCUAAAACAUGGACCCUCGUGGACCGACGAACUCAAGGUUCUGCCUCAUUCUCCUUCUUACUCGUAAACUCUUGGCUCUGCCAUCUUUUCCCCUUCCUCCAAGCCCCAAACCCUAUUUUGCAGCUUCGUGCACCGCUCCAACCUCUUGCCUUCGUCCACACAUAGUUACUAUACCUUUGGUGGCUAAGGAGGAAUCUUGCCUUUGUCCACACACAAUUACUAUUACAUAAGCAACAUGGUGAACAUAAUCUGUCAGUACUGAAGCAUUUAUUAUACCUCUAGAAAAUCCACCUUCAAGAACAUCCUAAUGAUCCUCCUCCUUAAUAUUAUGCUUCAUAAGUUCAUGCUCCUGGAGUGCAUCCUUCUCAAACCUGAUAUCUCCAUGCUCCUCAACAUGAACAUCGGGCUAAGCUUCUCCACGCCAUUUUUUAGCAUAAAUAGUAGGUCUCCUCCUUGCACCCUGUGAGGAACUCUCUCUAUCAUAUGAAAAUGCAUCUCGAGUACGAGCCAUAUCUAUUCUAAAUUCUUUUUAUUAACAACA
rnacentral:lncRNA from 1 species